UGUGUAACUAUUUUCAGCACCAUAAUGUUGAAAAGGAAGACAAGGAUACGGCCUGUUGAUGAUGCCAGGACACACAUUCUGUCUUUGAGGGACAAGCCUGGGUUUAUGGAACGAUUUAUCGAUAAUAACAAAGGUAGAGGAGUGUUUGCUACCCAGCCUGUGGAAGCCGGAGCUUUUGUUUUGGAGUACAGGGGUGAACUCAUUUCAGCAGAAGAAUGCCGGGCGAGAGACUAAACUGAGUUACAGAGCACAUUUCUGUUCGAAUUUGAGUGGCAGAAGCGUCACUGGUGUAUUGAUGCAUCCAAAGAAGACGGUUCUCUUGGAAGAUUGAUUAAUGACAGCCACAAAUCUCCAAACUGCACCAUGAAAAAAAUCAUAGUAAAUGACACGCCACAUUUGUGUCUAUUUGCUGUGAAGAAAAUUGAAAUAGGAAGUGAAAUCGAAUACAACUAUGGUGAUUCACAGUGGCCGUUGCGUA